rnacentral:siRNA from 1 species
UCUCAUGAUGAUAGCCAACACGGU